rnacentral:rRNA from 1 species
UACGAAGGGGGCUAACGUUGUUCGGAUUUACUGGGCGUAAAGCGCACGUAGGCGGAUCGUUAAGUCAGGGGUGAAAUCCUGGAGCUCAACUCCAGAACUGCCUUUGAUACUGGCGAUCUUGAGUUCGGGAGAGGUGAGUGGAACUGCGAGUGUAGAGGUGAAAUUCGUAGAUAUUCGCAAGAACACCAGUGGCGAAGGCGGCUCACUGGCCCGAUACUGACGCUGAGGUGCGAAAGCGUGGGGAGCAAACAGG